CCCAGACUUUGACAAAUUUCCCGAGCGGAAGUUGCUAUCCGAAGCUUCCGGUCCCUCCAGGAGCCCACGUCUCGGUGGUGCGCGCUGGCCGCCCCGCCUGUGGUUCCGCCCCGGCCGGAAGGACCCACCCGGGUCACAGGAGGACCGCCCCGUGUCCCCUCUCCACUGGAGGCUGUGUCAUCACUCAGUGAAACUCCCCGCCUUGCUCACUCUUCGAUUCUCAGAGCCUCCUCGUUCUUCUUGGCCAUGGACAAGCACUCAACUCAGGUGGAGUUGGCAAGCCGUCCCCAGCAGCAGGUAGCCUGGUCAAGCGAGGCCCAGGCGGGGUGUCGCCGGCCACAGGACCCUGGCUUGCAAAGUGACUGAGAAGAACAACCUGCAUCAAUAGGAAUGACUUCAAAAUUGUGAAAUAUAAUUUAAUACUUGUUGAUUUGCUGUUACUUAUGUUUGUGGUUUUGAGCCUCUGGAAUCAGGGGGCUGGACAGGUGGCCAUGGCGAGGCCUGGGGACAAAUUCUCAGUGUCUAGAACAACAGCUCCUAGGCAGAAUCAAGCCCCAUGUGGUCACAUUUUCCCAGCUUUGCCUCCUGGCUCUUCUGGGAGGGGUUGGGUCCUGGGCAUCGCCUCCACAGCUCUGUCCUGAGCUCUACACCUAGGAUGUGACUUCAGGCCUCAGACAGCUUUGCCCUUCACAGCCUCCCUGGGUGCCACGCAGCUACUUGACACCCAGGAGGACUGGGGAAGACUGUAGGGAGGGCUGUAGGAAGACUGUAGUUUCAAAACUCUUUUUUUUUUUUUUUAGAUGGAGUCUGACUCUGUUGCUCCUGGAUUCAGGCAAUUCUCUGGCCUCAGCCUCCUGAGUAGCUGGGAUUACAGGGGCCCGCCACCACACCCAGCUAAUUUUUUGUAGAGACAGGGUUUCACCAUGUUGGCCAGGCUGGUCUCGAUCUCCUGACUCAAAUGAUCCGCCUGCCUUGACUUCCCAAAGUGCUGGGAUUACAGGUGUGAGCCACCUUGCCCAGCCAGGACCCCAUCUCUUAAAAAGAAAUUGUGUGUGUGUGUGUGUAUGAAUAUAAAACGUUGGGAAGAAAAAAUCUAUAGUAUUAUAAAAGGUGUAUGGAUGAAAGUAUGGCCAAAAGAUGACAUACUUGAUAUAUUUAUUUAUAAGGUUUUAUUAAAAUUAGCUUUAGUGUUGGUAAUGCACUGAUGGGCUGGGUGAGGUGGCUCACGCCUAUAAUUCUACCACUUUGGGAGGCCAGCCGAGGUGAGUGAAUCCCUGAGUCCAGGAGUUCAAGACCAGCCUGGGAAACACGGUGAAACCCUGUCUCUACAAAAAAAAUACCAAAACAGGCUGGGCGCAAUGGCUCAAGCCUGUAAUCCCAGCACUUUGGGAGGCCGAGGUGGGUGGAUCAUGAGGUCAAGAGAUCGAGACCAUCCUGGUCAACAUGGUGAAACCCCAUCUCUACUAAGAAUACAAAAAAUUAGCUGGGCAUGGUGGCGUGUGCCUGUAAUCCCAGCUACUCAGGAGGCUGAGGCAGGAGAAUUGCCUGAACCCAGGAAGCGGAGGUUGGGGUGAGCCGAGAUCGCACCAUUGCCCUCCAGCCUGGGUAACAAGAGUGAAACUCUGCCUCAAAAAACAAACAAGGCCGGGCGCGGUGGCUCAAGCCUGUAAUCCCAGCACUUUGGGAGGCCGAGGCGGGUGGAUCACGACGUCAAGAGAUUGAGACCAUCCUGGUCAACAUGGUGAAACCCCGUCUCUACUGAAAAUACAAAAAAUUAGCUGGGCAUGGUGGCGUGUGCCUGUAAUCCCAGCUACUCAGGAGGCUGAGGCAGGAGAAUUGCCUGAACCCAGGAGGCGGAGGUUGCGGUGAGCCGAGAUCACGCCAUUGCACUCCAGCCUGGGUAACAAGAGCCAAACUCGGUCUCGGAAAAAAAAAAAAAAAAAAAAGAAGAUAUGAGUGGCCGGGCAUGGUGGCUCACACCUGUAAUCCUAGCACUUUGUGAGGCCAAGGUGAGUGGAUUGCUUGAGCUCAUGAGUUCAAGGCCAGCCUGGGCAACAUGGCAAAAUCUUAUCUCUACAAAAUAUCAAAAAUUGGCUAGACAUGGUGGGGUGCACCUGUAGACCCCAUUACUCAGGAGGCUGAGGUGGGAGGAUGGAUUGAGCCCAGGAAGUGGAGGUUGCAGUGAGCCAAGAUUACACCCCUCUACUCCAGCCUGGGCAAAGAGCCAGACCCUGUCUCAACAAUACAUAAAAAUAAAUAAGUCCAGUGUUAAGUGUGGCUUCAUGGAGAGCCUGGAUGGACGAAUCCCUAAAGCGUCCAUUAUUAAAAGCUCUGCAUUCCGUGACUCUCCAUGAAAAAGAUAAAGUGAUACAAGUUAAAUAAAACAUCUUAGCAAUUUAGAAAAGUCACCCUCUAUGACCAGUGUUUGGUUUAUCAAACCCACAAUCCUGGGAAGAAAAUCAAAACUUUAGGUAUGUUUCUGCUACCUGAUGGGUCUUUAAACAUGUCUGGAGGGAUUUAAUUCAAUUAUCAUUUUAAGUGCAUGUUUUCUGGUUGUGUAAAAGCUUUCCCAUGCAAGAGGGCUGACGCUAGGACAGUAACUAAAAGGUUGUUAGGAAAUGUGUUUUCCUCAUGGGACAUUUCUGGAGAAAUCUCCAAUGACUGGAGUACUUGUUUCUCUGGACGUGGGAAGUAAAAAAGUUCCUCUUCAAAGUUUCCUUUGCUGUUUAAACAAAUCAUAAGUGUUAGAAAUUAUAGAUUGUUUUUAAACACUUUCUUCAAAGCCGUCUUGUUUUUUACUAGUGACUCUGUUAAGCCCUGUCCUUUGUAGCUGUGAGACAUGCUCACAGGCACAUAGCACAUUCUAUGUCCUUGUACUUUAACCGAGAUACUGUGCUGGAUGUGCUCCCAGGCGUGUCCCAGCUCGCAGCCUGUGCCCCUUCCUUAUUUGGACUUCCUUUUGCUCUCUAUUGCUUUGUUCUGUUUAGAAAAGUUGAACGUUGUUGGCCAAUCAGGUUUUAGUUUAGAUCGUGAGGUCUGGCUCCAACCAGCGCAGACCAGACACAGCAGUAAGGACAACCCAAAAUACAUAAGGGAUAAAUAUGUUUGCUUUUCCUUUGUUCGCUGUACUCUCAUGGCAGGAUUGCUAACGGGGGCCCCCUUUCUGCAGGAAGUAAAAGGAAUUGCUUUGCUGAGA